rnacentral:rRNA from 1 species
AUUGAACGCUGGCGGCAGGCCUAACACCUGCAAGUUCAACGAGUGGCGGACGGGUGAGGAAUGCCUGGGAAACUGCCUGAUGGAGGGGGCUAACUACUGGAAACGGUAGCUAAUACCGCAUACCAUCGGAUGUGCCCAGAUGGGAUUAGCUAGUAGGUGGGGUAAAGGGGCACCUAGGCGACGAUCCCUAGCUGGUCUGAGAGGAUGACGAGACACGCUGGAAGUGAGACACGGUCCAAACUGUCACGGUAGGCAGCAGUGGUGAAUAUUGCAGGAUGGGCGCAAUCCUGAUGCAGCCAUGCCGCGUGUAUGAAGAAGGCCUUCGGGUUGUAAAGUACUUUCAGCGGGGAGGCGUUGCCCGCAGAAUAAGCACCGGCGAACUCCGUGCCAGCAGCCGCGGUAGUAC